UACGUAGGGUGCAAGCGUUAAUCGGAAUUACUGGGCGUAAAGCGUGCGCAGGCGGUUGUGCAAGACAGAUGUGAAAUCCCCGGGCUUAACCUGGGAAUGGCAUUUGGGACUGCAAGGCUUGAGUGCGGCAGAGGAGACUGGAAUUCCUGGUGUAGCAGUGAAAUGCGUAGAUAUCAGGAGGAAUACCGAUGGCGAAGGCAGGUCUCUGGGCUGACACUGACGCUCAUGCACGAAAGCGUGGGGAGCAAACAGG
rnacentral:rRNA from 1 species